UUUAAUAAUUUUAAUAAUAAAAUAUAACAUCUAAGAAAUCAGUUUUUCAAUUGUAUUUAUUAUUUAAAACUAUGAAAAUUUGUUUUACUAUAGUUUUUGAAUAAUUUAAAGUUAAUGUUAGUAUAAUUUUUUUAUAUAAUAGAAUAUUAAAUAUAUUAAUUUUUGUAGUAAAUUAAAUAUUUAGUUUAUCUAGUCUUACAUUGAUAAUAGUGUUCUUGAAUUAGUUAAAUAUUUUGAACCUAAAUUGAAACAUCUAUGGUAAUAGUUUUAAGAAUUUUUCUUUGAAGUAUGAUCUCUGACUAAUUUUUUAGCUAUAAAUCAUAAAUGAGUAUUAUAGCCACUGUAUUUAUAUUAUUUUUUUUUAAAUAACGUCAUAAAAAUGGAAUCCAAAGAAAAAAAUUGCAUAUCCUGCAGAAUUACCGGUGGCAUAACAUUUCUGAUGGUAGCCAUUUAUUUUUUUAAAGGCUGCAAACAUAUAAAGCCAGUUUAUUACAUUGGUACACCAAGUAUGUUUUAUUUAGCCAUAGCAAGGAGUUUAAAUUUACCUCCAUUCAAAUAUUGAAUAUGUUCAUAAUAAACUCUAUUCAUUAGCUACACAUUAUUAUGUAUAUACUUUAAACAUUUUUUCAGUUUUUUAUAUUUUAAAUUGUUUAUAAAAACAUAGUUUUAAUUUUUUUUGUUAAAAAUAAAAAAAUGUUGACUUAAAUAAUUUUCUUUUUUUCUUUUAUAAGUUAUCCAAGAAAGAAUAAUUAAAUUACUACUGUAAGUAAACUCAUUUUUUGUUAAGGAUAUUAACAAAUAAUCAUAGACUAAACUAGAGAGGCUAAAGGAGAUGUAGCCAUCCCAGGUGACAAAUUAUAAAAUUAUGUAUUUGUUUACAAGGUAAUUUUUUAUCAUCAACCCCUUAAUUAAUUAAAAAAUAAAAAUGACACUAAUAAUUUUCUUUCUUUUAAUUACUUAUUUUUCUCAAUUAUCAAUCAUGUUAUGUUCAACACGUAUACCUUAUGAGAGUUUAAAAUUUAUUUUCUAAAUGGAAAUGUAUUUAUUUAUGUUGCUUGUUAAUCAUUAGUUUUAAGUUAUUUAAAUAUAUUUAACUUACUAUA